UGUGUGUAUGUUUAGUACCUGUGAAAAAUCAAUGCUAAGAUUUUUUUCGAAAAAAAGGCAGCACAGCAAAUCACAUCCGUUUGGCAAAUAAACAACUUUG